rnacentral:lncRNA from 1 species
CUAGGUCAUGAGAUAGUAAUCCUAUUCUCAAGGCGCUUAAAUUUGAACGUUGUAUGAGCUAGGUGAUAUUUGUUACUAGAGUUUUGUUUGAAUAUUUUAUUCUCUCAUAAACAUUUACUUAAUACCUGCAGUGGUAAAAUUACUCUGCCAUGUAUUGGGAUGGAUUCCAAAGUGAGUAAGAGAGAGUUUCUGCUUUCCCAUUGCUUGUAAAUAAACAAGGUAGACGGCUAGGCAUUAUAAUGCAAUGAGAGCAGAUAAUGAUAUGUAGCAUCAGACAACUGUAAACAGAAUGUUAACAGGAGUUCUGAAGAGGAGAUCAUGUCCAGCUGAGUUGACCAGGACAGGUGACUUUUAAGUUUGGCCUAGACUGAGAUAGGAAUGAAUAGAAUUUUUAUGUGUACUGGGAUUAAUCAGAAACAUGAAGAAAGAGACAAAGGUGAAGAUGAACUAGAACCCGUACAAUGAAGAGAGCUGAGAGGCCGAGUUUAUCUACACAAUAAAGGGUUGACAUGGAGGGAGAAGAAAGACAGAAAACCAUACAGGUGGGUUUAAAUGAAUAUUUGGAGAGCAUCUGAAAGACGCUGUCUUCAUAUACAUAUUACAUGUAUAUGAUAUAUAUUUACAUAUGUAAUAAUAUAUAUAAAUAUUACAAAGUACCUGUAAAACAUAUCU